CGUUGUUCAUCUCCACCUUUCUCAGCAUGUAGAUCAGAGGACUGAACAUGGGAGCAAUGAUGGUACAGAAGAGAACAAACACUUU
rnacentral:lncRNA from 1 species